UAGCAAACACAGGGGUAGUC
rnacentral:misc_RNA from 1 species